GCCGCAGUGAAGCCUGAACUCGAGUAGGGCCCAAGCCAGCCAGGAAGGAGGAGGCAGCCAGAGUGGCCACCCCUGCUCUCUGCAGCAGAAGACCCCUUGCUGCCCUGCUUAACCCAGACCAGCAUUUGCCAGUGCAUGAAGAUCAAGAGAAGCACUUCAGAUCUCUUUGCUAUCAGAGACAAAUGACAGCUACAAGGAGCAGAGCCUUCUCUGUGGUGGUGCUUUCUUUAUGGAAUUCCAUAGGUCUGACAAGCUCAUGGUCCACUAGGAUUUCCACAGGUAACUGUAACCCUGCAAUUCAUCUCUUGCGGAUUUAUGUAUACACUCCAUUCCAGUGCUGAGCCGAUCUUUCUACUUACAUACUAGUCUUCUGUAAGCAAGGUGGACAGAGAAGUCAGAAAUGCAAUCUUAAUAUCUGAAAUGAUACAGCCCGGACAAAUAAUCAAAUUUAUCACUCAACUCUGCUGAUCUUCUGACACACAGAGCAGACCACAAUAAUGGUUGAUGUGCAGCCAUUAGUGGGUCACAAGUUGUGCGAACCUGCCCAGAAACAGACACUGAACUGGACAAGUCAGCCCAGGUACGCGGUGCAUAUUCUUAUUAAGCAACUUAAUAUUUGCUGUCUAUUAAGACGACGACAGCAACUCAAUUUGCCUACACUUCCUGAAUUGAGCAGGUCAGUUACGCAAACUGCCCACCAUUCUAGCUCUUGAGUCAUAGCCCACAAACUACUACUACAAGUAGGGAAGUGAAACUAGUAAGGCCAAACAGAGGUCCUGGCUUUAAAAUGGGAGCUUAUGGUCUGUGGCUCAACUCUGGGCCACACCCCUUCCUGCAGCUGUGUGAUGUUAGGGUCCAGUUCCUUUGCAGGCUAAACUAGCACCCAUCGAAUCUAUGCAAGGAGAAGGGCUGCUGGUUUUCUGCCACAAUUUCUGCAGCAGCAGGCUAGUCACCUUCCACUGGUGUGUGUGUGUGUGUGUGUGUGUGUGUGUGUGUGUGUGUGUGUGUGUGUGAAAUAUAACGCCUAGGUUGCUUUUAUACUGUGGGCAUAACAGAGCUUUAAGGAGAAAAUCACAAAGCAAACUGUCAACACCAUAAACUAUUCUACCGAAAUACAAGAACAGAGUAAAUAUUGAUGACUUUUAUCUUGAUUUAUUACUGACUAAAUUUGAUAGUAUGAGUACUAACUCUGUGGCCAAGUUUUGCUACGUUGCAUGUAAGUUGCGUACUACUAUUUUAUGAUGUUUUAUUCUCUUUUUCCUUUUUGCUUGUGUUUGUCCUGGUCAUUGAUCGAAAUAAAGCUUGUAAUUAUUUUGUGAGGGCUGCA